GGAUUAUCAAGUCUCUUGUGAAAUCCAACGGCUUAACCGUUGAACUGCUUGGGAAACUGGUAAUCUAGAGUGGGGGAGAGGCAGAUGGAAUUGGUGGUGUAGGGGUAAAAUCCGUAGAUAUCACCAAGAAUACCCAUUGCGAAGGCGAUCUGCUGGAACUUAACUGACGCUAAGGCGCGAAAGCGUGGGGAGCAAACAGGAUUAGAUACCCUGGUAGUCCACGCCCUAAACGAUGUAUGCUAGUUGUUGGGGUGCUAGUCAUCUCAGUAAUGCAGCUAACGCAUUAAGCAUACCGCCUGGGGAGUACGGUCGCAAGAUUAAAACUCAAAGGAAUAGACGGGGACCCGCACAAGCGGUGGAGCAUGUGGUUUAAUUCGAAGAUACGCGAAGAACCUUACCUGGGCUUGAUAUCCUAAGAACCUUAUAGAGAUAUGAGGGUGCUAGCUUGCUAGAACUUAGAGACAGGUGCUGCACGGCUGUCGUCAGCUCGUGUCGUGAGAUGUUGGGUUAAGUCCCGCAACGAGCGCAACCCACGUAUUUAGUUGCUAACACUUCGGGUGAGCACUCUAAAUAGACUGCCUUCGUAAGGAGGAGGAAGGUGUGGACGACGUCAAGUCAUCAUGGCCCUUAUGCCCAGGGCGACACACGUGCUACAAUGGCAUAUACAAUGAGACGCAAUACCGCGAGGUGGAGCAAAUCUAUAAAAUAUGUCCCAGUUCGGAUUGUUCUCUGCAACUCGAGAGCAUGAAGCCGGAAUCGCUAGUAAUCGUAGAUCAGCCAUGCUACGGUGAAUACGUUCCCGGGUCU
rnacentral:rRNA from 1 species